UCACACCGGAAUCCUCCUUUAAAUUUAUAGGCAACACAGUUCAAUGUAGGCAGUCCAGUUGACCAAUAACAUGGUUGUUUGAAUUUGAAAUGGAGUGGGCGGAUCUGUGCAGCUUUCGAGCAAAACGUGGUGUGAGCAAACAUUAACGUUAUUUUAUACAGUCUAUGCUUGUAACUUUAUUUGCAAGACAGAUGGACUGUAGAGACCAGAAAAUUCAUACGUUUACGGUCCGUUUAAGGUUACAGGUUUGUCCAAAUUAAAGAUACCAUAAAUUCUAGUCAUGCCAGAGACGUUGGUCCUACAGAGCCAGAAGGACUCGUCAUAUGAGAUAACAAGGGCUGAAGCCAGUUGGAUCUAAAGUGCCAAGUUAUUCGUUAUCAGGUGUUCCUGGACAGUUUUGAAACCGAGAUGUCUGAACGCCUCAAAUAAUCAGCAGUAAAGACAACAGAGACAAAUUCUCUAAUACCAAGGUCAAUGCAUUUGACUGCUGUCCAGCCCCGGGUUGCCACCGAAAACUUUAUGCAUCUUGGACUGGAAGAUGGUGUGCUAGUAAGGAAGCUAGCUACCACAGCCUUUGCCACCACAUCUCAGUGUUGGGAGGGAAGUUCACUCACUGCACAACUCUACCAGCUGUACCUUUCCUCCUCAGCCAUGAUCCGUAACCACCAUGGUUUUCUUUCUGGGCCAGAAGACUUUGCAAACAAA